rnacentral:rRNA from 1 species
UUCGGGACGCCGGCGAGUGGCGAACGGGUGAGUAACACGUGGAGACCUGCUCUGGGGUGGGGGAUAACAGCUAGAAAUGGCUGCUAAUACCGCAUACGCCUUACGAGGGAAAGAUUUAUUGCCCCAGGAGGGUUCCGCGUCGGAUUAGCUUGUUGGUGGGGUAACGGCCUACCAAGGCGACGAUCCGUAGCUGGUCUUAGAGGAUGAUCAGCCACACUGGGACUGAGACACGGCCCAGACUCCUACGGGAGGCAGCAGUGGGGAAUAUUGCGCAAUGGGGGAAACCCUGACGCAGCGAUGCCGCGUGGGUGAAUAAGGCCUUAGGGUUGUAAAGCCCUUUCAGUGGGAACGAUGAUGACGGUACCCACAGAAGAAGCCCCGGCUAACUCCGUGCCAGCAGCCGCGGUAAUACGGAGGGGGCGAGCGUUGU